rnacentral:rRNA from 1 species
CCAGUCCUUAACUGACGCUAAAGCUCGAAAGUGCGGGUAUCGAACAGGAUUAGAUACCCUGGUAGUCCGCACGGUAAACGAUGGAUGCCCGCUGUUGGCGAUACACUGUCAGCGGCCAAGCGAAAGCGUUAAGCAUCCCACCUGGGGAGUACGCCGGCAACGGUGAAACUCAAAGGAAUUGACGGGGGCCCGCACAAGCGGAGGAACAUGUGGUUUAAUUCGAUGAUACGCGAGGAACCUUACCCGGGCUUGAACUGCAGCUGAACGAUCCAGAGAUGGUGAGGCCCUUCGGGGCAGCUGUGGAGGUGCUGCAUGGUUGUCGUCAGCUCGUGCCGUGAGGUGUCGGCUUAAGUGCCAUAACGAGCGCAACCCUUUUCUCUAGUUGCCAUCAGGUAAUGCUGGGCACUCUGGAGACACUGCCACCGUAAGGUGUGAGGAAGGUGGGGAUGACGUCAAAUCAGCACGGCCCUUACGUCCGGGGCUACACACGUGUUACAAUGGGUGGUACAGAGAGUCAGCGGCCGGCAACGUCCGCUUAAUCAUGAAAUCCAUCCUCAGUUCGGAUUGGGGUCUGCAACCCGACCCCAUGAAGCUGGAUUC